GCUGAUCCAUUCGGGACGCGGUUAAGGCAACCACAACCCUAUCCUCAUGCACCAUCAGCUCAUCGGCAACACACUUUUGGUGUUAAUUAUGAUGUUAAUGGUGUUAGUAGUAGUUGCAAUAAUUAUAAUUACAAUCAUAAUGGUAAUCAGAUAUUAAGCAUGGAGUAUUCUUCUGGUUUUGUAAAUCCAAGUGAUACCUCCAACUUUUAAUUAUCAUCUCAAUUUUAACAAAUUAUUAGUGUAUUGAUUAUUAUAACAAAAUGUGUUUGUUGUUUUCAAUAAUCUGGUUAUUAAGUUCUAUUAGAGUUUUUUUUAUACAUAUUGCUAAUAUAUAUGUGUUGGUGUGUGGGCUCGCCGGAGUAAGCUCGCCGUCCAACCUAAUACAAGUGUUCCUCUAAGAAUUAUCAACCCCCUCCCCUGUUGGAUCAGAGGAGGUAUUUAUAGCCUUCCAUUGCUAUCAUUGGGUCUCAUGGGCUCGCACGUCGGGCCCAUUCGCUCGCCUGGGCCGCCGACGGGGCUGGUUCGGUCCAUGGGCCGCGGUCUGCGGUCCAUGGUACCAACAGUACCCCCCCCUUCCUCGACGGGCUCGGGCUCGGGCCCGGGGACCGUCCGUCCGCAUCCCGCCUUCAACCACCUCCUUUACCCGCCUUAAAGGCUCCUCGAGGUUCGAGCCACUCCCCCUUCUCCUUCCUAUAAAUAGCUUCCUCGCCUCUUCGGCUUCUCACACCAUCCUUCUUUCGCAAUGAGCAUCCGUGACAUCCUCGAGGAGUACGACCGCGAAAUGCAACUCCAGCACGCCGCCUGGGCCAUGUGCCUGUUUUCGCCCGCUGGCGUCCCCAAUAGUGUGGCCGUGGUUGAGACUCAACGUCUCAAUGCUGUGCUGAUCGACGUCCAUCGUCGCCUCUCCCAAGUCCGCCGCUCCGAUCUUCUCGCGAGCCACCCUGCAGUCGCCUACCCUGACACUGUUCCUGCAGGCGUCCCGGGCUCUGUUGGUAUCUCGCGUGCCUUCAACGCGCAUGGCACGAUUGUUGUUCCUGCUGUCGCCGCUGCCGAUGUUGCUGGCCUGCCGGGCGCCGAUUCUUUGACAAAGCCUCGUCGGUCGCGCGGCCAUCGUCACUCCCGUGGGUCUACGUGUCUUCCGGAUACUGACCUGCGCCACUUCCUGUCGGGGUCCCCGAAGUCGGGCCGCUAGGCCCGCCGUGGAGCUAUCCGCGCCCGCUCCCAUGCCCUUUCGGGCGGUGGACUUGCCUUCGUGGGGCGGCGCAUGGGGCGCCCCGGCGAUCCCUUUUUUUUUUUUUUUACCCGUACUUCGUUGUUGUUGUUCUUUUUUUCCCGUCGUGCCACUGGCUAUUGUAAUACUUGUUUUGCUUUAGUAAAUGUUUUUCCUUCGCUUUUUUUUGUGUUUUGACUUCGCCCUCGCGUGUUGGUGCAAUUUUGCACUAUUCGGCGUCUUUUGCCGACGUUGCUCGGGCCCUUCUUGAGCUUUGCCCUUGCUACCCGAUGCAGGCCCCCCUUCGCCGACGCUCCCUAUUCGUUCCGCUUUCCCUCUCCUGGCGUGGGGUCACACCCGUUACGUUGUUUAGUUUGAUCCGUCGGUCGGGUCCGUGGGUGGGCCCGCUUGGACACCGCCGCCCGCCUGUUUGGUCGUUGAGCGCCUCAGGGUCUUCGUCGGAUGCCUCGCCGUCCGCGCCGGGCGAAGAUGGGCCAACCGGACCUUGCCUUUACCGAGGCCGGAAAUCGCCUCGCUUCUCAACCGCCGUUGGGCAUGGUGGCCCUCUACACCCCUUACGCCGAGGCCGGCCUUACUCUUCCGCUUCCUCCUCUGGUGGCCGAAGCCAUGCACUUCUGCGAUAUCUCGAUCUCCCAGUUCCCUCCGGCCGCCAUUGAUCGUCUGAUGACCUUUUCACUGCUCUGCCGCCGGUCCGGCAUCGAGGCUUUCUUGCCUGUUUUCCUUAACUGGUUUACGAUGACAACUGAUCCUCGUCGGUUGCUGAUCGCCCAGAGAUCGGGCGGUGCCUCUUCGACCAGCUGGUCGACCGAUCUCACCACUGGCGCGACCGGUUCUUCUUCGUCCCCCUGGACGCCCUAGCUUGGUCCGUUCGACCCGGAGAUGCCGCCGUCCUCUCGUUGGGCUCUUCUGACCCAGCUGAAGACUCGGACCGCGGCCCCUGGCCGAGACGCGUUGGCGCCCCAGGCCCGAAACGCGCAGGACGUUCUGACUGACAUCUACCGCCGCGGGGUUGUCAAUGCCCGGACGCUGGCCCAAUCUUGGAGUCAUGGCGUGCACAUGGCUCUGCCUAUCAAGGUAUACUAUAUUCGGGCCGGGCCGCCCAAACGCCCGAAAAACAAGAGGCCACACGACACUAUCCUGUUUGAGCCCCCCGUGUCUCCUCCCCCGUUCGACACCGGAGCCGAAGGUGAGGUCCCGACUGAGUCUGACACUGGCCUUCGAGACAGCCGGGCCGAGAGACGAAGAAAGAAGAAGCUUCGGUCAGAGAAGAGGAAGUCUGUUGCCGCUGCCCUGGAGACAGUUGUGGUUGAGAACUUGUGCUCUUCGGACCCCAGCCCUUCUGAUCCCCUGUCUGCCGAAUUCGUGGACUCUCUUCGGAGGGAUGGGUUGGAUCUUGAACACUUUCGUACGUUCGUGCGGAGCGUUGAUCACUCGGCCGAAUUCUCCGCCCCCGUCGAUCCUGCGUCCUCCCUGCCCCGCCUCGGCGGGAUAUUCAAGAAGAAGCUCUCCGACAUCGAUUCUUGGUUGGAGCCGGAAGACGAGUACGUCCAUCUGCUCACGCGCCCUACGUCGGACAUCGACCGCGACCUGAACCAUCAGAUGCUCCAGCUCUCGGUUCUUACCAUGGUUCGAUUGGAGCAGGGCCUUCGGCAAGACGAGGAGGUCCAGCAAAUGCGUGCCAAGCUUGCCGCGGUGAAGGGUCAGCUGGACGCAGUCGUGCGCGAGCGGGACGCUCUGGAUGCUGAGGUUACCCGAGCUGCCGAGGAGGAGAGGAUUCAUGCUGCCGGCGCACAGGACGCCCUUGCCGCCGCCGUGACUUCGGCCCAAGAAGAGUUCAUUAAGGGCUUUGUUCCUACCUUCGAGGCUCGUUUGGGGGAGUUGAAGCUGGACCACGCCGUCAUGAUGAAGGAUUCCAAGCGCGCCGGCUUCUGGAAGGGUUAUCAACACGGGCGUCAGAUGUGCGAAUUCGUUUAUCCGACCCUUUCGUACGGCGUCGUGCCCCUGAGCCGCCGUGAGUGGGAGCUCUGGCGACGAACGAGCGUCCCCUCCUAUCAGCCUCCACUGGACGUGAGCGACAGCGAGGAAACGGACCUUGAGGCCGACUUUCCUGAGUACACAGAGCCUCCUCGCGAGUAGUCUUUCGUUCGUCCCUGCAUGACUUUUAUCUCCCCCUUUUUCCUUUGCUUGUAAUGUAUUUGGAUACUUAGCUUUUUUUUGUGUUUUAAUAUUAAUUUGCAACUUUUGAAUGUAUUCGAGCGUCCUCUAUCCUUCUUCCUUCGACCUCUCCUCCUCCCGCGUUCUUUUACUUGCCGCACGCGUCCUUUCUAGGGGGCGUUGUGGUUCGUCCGGGUGCCUCCGCGCGGUUUGCUGGCCGGGGACGCCCCGGCUGGUCUUUCGGCCGGGCCCCUUCAUUUCCUUGCUUCACUUCGUCCAUGUUGCGGGUGUUCGUGCCCUCUCUUUCCCGCGCUUAGCAUCUUUCUCACUUCUACUGUUUUUUUUCUUUUCGAAAGAGCGGUCUGGGUCGUUCGGACGUUCCCAUGCGGCCUUUCGACCCUGGAGACCUUCCGUUAGCCUUUUCGGCAGGCUCAUCCAAUUUUUUCGUUCUCUUUUUCCUUUUUUUUCACAAUGGGGGCACUCCGGGUGCGUUUUACUGGGCAUCGCGUGCUCUGGUCGGGAGGCCCGACAUUACAUGAGAUGGGGGGAAAAACAAAAAAGAGAAACAAUUUCAUCGGCUCCGAAAACACUGCUUCACCGCCUGUAUUUUUCCAGAUUGUCGGCGUGCCAAGUUCUUUUUAUUUCUUGCCCAUCCUCAUACCCUAGGCGGAAGAUGCCCGGGUGAAUCUCGUCCAUGAUGAUGUACGGGCCCUCCCAUCUCGUCGACAAUUUCCCCUUCGUUUGGUCGACUCCUGUUAUCUUGGCGUUCCUCAACACAAGAUCCCCUGGUUCUAGGUUUUUGUCGGCCACUCUUUCGUUGUGGUACCUCGCCACCCUUCGUUUGUAGGUGAGGUCCCUGAUAGACGCCUCCUCUCUCCGGCCUUCCAGGUGUUCAUUUUCUAGGAUCAUUGCUUGGUCGUUCGUCCCUGGCUGGUAUUGUUCGAUACGCGCGGUCGGCCAUACCAAUUCGGCCGGUGCCACCGCCUCCAUCCCGAAAGCGAGGGCGAAUGGGGUCUGGCCCGUGGGGGUUCGGAUGGUCGUGCGGUAUGCCCACAUAGUCUUGGGAAUUAGGUCCGCCCAAUUUCCUGGAUAUUCGCCUACUUUCCUCUUGAGGAUCGACGUUAUCGUCUGGUUCGUGACCUCCACCUGCCCGUUCACUUGCGGGUGGUAAACUGGCGCGAAGCUCAACUUGAUCCCGCUAUCUUUGCAGAAUUCUCUCAACUUCUUGCUCGUGAACUGCGUUCCAUUAUCCGUUACUAUCUGAAUAGGGACCCCGAACCGGCAGACGAUGCUUCUGAAGACGAAAUUCACCACGUUCUGUUCGUUGAUUGUGUUUGUGGCUUCCGCCUCGGCCCACUUUGUGAAAUAAUCGACCGCUAUGAAUAAGAACUUCAUUCCCCUCGACGCCGGCGGGAAGGGCCCGACACUGUCAAUCCCCCACCUUGCGAAUGGGACCGGCGUUGUUACGGCCUUCAUCAUGGUGGAUGGCCGCCUCUGGACGUUCGAAUGCCGCUGGCACUCGUCGCACCGGUCGACGAUUUCUUUCGAGUCAUUUAUUGACUCGGGCCAGUAGUAGCCUUGCCUGGCCACCUGCUUCUCCAAAGCCCUUCCGCCCUGGUGCGCGCCGCUUGCCCCUUCGUGGAGGCUUUGUGCGAUGGCUUUUCCAUCCUCCCGCGAGACGCACAACCUCAGGGGGGCCUCCUCCGCAGCGGAUCGUCGGUACAGCCUGUUUUGGGCCACCACGAACCAGGCUUCUCUGUUUCUCAGUUUCCUGGCCUCCAUCGGAUCCGUUGGCUCUUCGCCUGCCUCGAUGAACCUCCUGAUUGGUGCUCUCCAAUCCCCUGAUGUUAUUACGCAGCACAACACGGGCGACUUGGAACCAUUAGCUGUCGUUGGCCGUUUCUGGUUAUCGAUUCGGAUCCAUCUUCCUUCCGCUUUCCCUGGGGACGCUCCUAGCUUGGCCAGCGUGUCGGCCUCCCCGUUGUCCUCUCUCCCUAUCUGGGAGAUCUUCCAUUCUUCGAGCUUGCCCAAGGCCGUUCUUGCUUCGACCACGUAGCUCGCCAUUGAGUCUUCCUUGGAUAUGAAGUCCCCGCUGACUUGGCUGGCUACUAGCCGGGAGUCCGUGUGGAAGUGCACCCUGGACGCGCCCAGCGCACGUGUCAGUCUGAUUCUUGACAGGAGGGCUUCGUAUUCCGCUGCAUUGUUGGUCGCCCGGAACUCAAAAUGGAUCGAGUACUCGAUCUUUUCCCCUGUCGGGGUUUUCACCACGACCCCCGCGCCGCAACCUGUGCUGUUGGAUGACCCGUCCACGUGGGCCGUUCACCACUGCUCGUUCGCCUUCUCGCCAUCCCUCGGGGCUAGCUCGGCCAUGAAACCUGCCAUUGCUUGUCCUUUGAUCGCCCUUGCCGGCACGAUGACCAGGUGGAAUUCGCUAAGUUCCAUGGCCCAUUUGGUCAGUCUUCCCAAGACGUCCGACUUUUGCAGCAGCGGGUAGGCCGUUGGGAUUGUGACGGUGUGAGCGUGAAAAUAUGGUUUCAACCUUCAGACCGCCGAGACUACCGCUAGGGCCAGUCUCGUCGAGGGACGAAGCGUUGGCAGGCGAGAAAGCUGGAGCUUGAGUUCCUUGAAGGCUACCUCGCACUCGUCCGACCAUACUACCCUGGGGUCUGGGUUCCUCAACAAUUGGAAGAACGGUCGUAGGCGGUCCACCGUUCUUGGUGGGAACCUGCUUAACGCCGCCACCCUUCCGUUCAGCUUCUGGACUUCCUUUAGCAUCCGUGGUGGGUUCAUGGCCAUGACGGCCUCGACCUUUUCUCCUCUUGGUUUGAUCCCCUCGGGCGUGAUCCGGAAGCCCAAGAAGUACCCCUCCUUGACCCCGAACGCGCACUUUUUUGCCUUUAGCUUGAGCCCCGCUUUUCUGAUAUUGGCGAAGGUCUCCUCUAGGUCGGCUAUGUGCGUUCUGGUCUCCUUCGACCAGACGAGUAUGUCGUCCACGUACACUUCCGCGUUCCUGCCUAUCUGCGCCUCGAACACCUUGUCCAUUAACCUCUGGAAUGUAGCCCCGGCGUUGCGUAGGCCGAAGGGCAUUACUUUAAAACAGAACGUGCCCAUCUCUGUGAUGAACGACGUCUUCUCCUCGUCCUCCCUUGCCAUGGGCACUUGGUUGUACCCCGAGUGCGCGUCCACGAAGCUCAGCAUUUCGCACCUGGAGCUCUGGUCCACCAACCGGUCUACCGACGGUAGUGGGUAGCUAUCCUUGGGGCACGUUUUGUUGAGGUUCGUGAAGUCGACGCACAUCCUCCAUCCCGCGUCUGCCUUCUUUACCAUGACCACGUUGGACAGCCAGGCGGGGUAUUGGGCGAAUGAAGCCCGCUCGGAGGAGCUUCUUGACCUCCGUCUCUGCCGCCUCCCUUUUUUCUGCCCUUAGCGGGCGCAGCCUUUGUCUGAAGGGGUGGGCGCCUGGGGCCACUGUGAGCUUGUGCUCUGCCAGCAUCCUGGGCACGCCGCUCGGCUCCCCCAGCUCGUCUGCGAACAGGUCCUCGUUCCUCCUGAGGAGCUACUCCAGCUCCCCUUUCAAGUCCCGCGGGAGGUCCUUCCCUACCCGUACCUCGCUCCGGCCGAGGCCGAUUAGGAUCGUAUGGGACGCUGACGCCGGUUUCGUGACGCACUUGCGUGCUGAGUGCGGUAGGCCUUCGUCCGACGUCAUCACCUCGCUGGCCGAAUUGAAGUAGUACUUGCGCGCCUUCUUCUGGGAUCCUCUGACCGUGCACACUCCCUCUUCGGUUGGGAAUUUGAGGCAAUGGUGGAGCGAGGACAUCACUGCUUGGAACACGUGCAAUGCCGCUCUUCCUAGGAUGGCAUUGUAUCCGGACGUGAAGUUUACCACCGCGAACGUGACUUCAACUGUCCUUGCUUGAGCGUGUCGGCCCAAGGUGACCGGGAUGGAUAUUGUUCCUGCCACCGGAAUUUCUGCCUGUCCGAAUCCUCUGAUGGGGGCCCGGCAUGGGAGCAGAUCCAUGCGGGCCAAACCGAGGUCGAUGAAGGCGUUCCAGUACAUUACAUCUAUGGACGCCCCUGUGUCCAUCAGGACCCUGUGUAGGCGUACACUGGACUUAUCCCCCUUUUGGAAGAUGGGGGUUAUGACCAAAGGGUUGUCGUGGGGCGUAGUGACGUCCUUCAUAUCGUCCUUCGUGAACGAGAUCUCCAUGUUCGUUCGCGGGCGCUUCGUCCCCGUCGCCCGGUCCACAUCGGACGCGUACCGUCGCCUCUCCCAUGGGUCGUCUUCCCUCGAGGCCCCCCCUCCCGCGAUGGUGAGGAUAUCCCUUAUUGCUUCGUCCGUCGGUUCUUGCUUCGGUGCUUGGUGCCCUAUAGCUAGGUAUGACCGUCGGACGUCUUGCUAUCGGGGCGGGGGGGGCUCCGGUGGCGGGUUUCAUUUUGUUCAGUACCCUUGCCAGGUUUAGGCAUUCGGCUGUCGUGUGGCCGUUGUCCUCAUGGUAUUCGCAAAACCUGCGGGUGUCCCUGAACGCUGCUAUGUCGUUCCUCAUCGGCCUUGGCGGGGGUAGGGUUCCCGUUCCGCUCAACGUGAGGAAGACCUGCCUUUGAUUCGCCACCGGGGUAGGGCCUGCUUCCCUUCACCCCGCCCCCGCGGGGAUGCCUGUCCUGUACGCGGAUGGCUGUGGGGCAACCGGGGGCUUGGUCUGCGGCUGUUGCUGCUGGGGUUAGCUUUGUUGUUGUCCCCCCGUUCCUGCGGAGGUGCCUUUCCCCUUUUGCUGCCGCCUGCACUCCUGGAUCUUCGCCCCCAGGUAGUCUUCUACAUUGCACUCUUCGUGGGAUCUUUCCAUGGCUUCGGCGAAAGUGCUUGGCGGCUUUCGUACGAGGUCCCCCGCAAAGUAGGUGGGUCAGAGGCUAUUCGUGAAGGCGUAUAGCACCACCUCUUCCGAGAUUCCCUCGAUCUUCUGCACCUCGCUCGCGAACCAAUCCAUGUACGUGCGUAUGCUCUCCGCCUCUCCUUGCGCGAUGGCACUGAGGGUAGCUUUGAUUUUUGGUCUCCUCCGACGGUGUGCGAAGGCCGCCUGGAACACCGCCACCAGGCCCUCGUAGGUAUGCACGGACCCUGUCGGCAUCGUCCUGUACCAAGCUAUCGCGUCGCCCUUCAAGGCUUUGCGGAACAUCCGGCACCAGAUGUCCUUCCUGCUCGUCCUGUCCUCCAUGUUGGUCUUGAACGAGUGAAGGUGAUCCUCCGGGUCCGUGUCUCCCUUGUAAUACGGGAUCUUCGGGACCCUCCAGCCCGAGGGAUAUUCCUCGUCUAGCAGGUGCUGUGCUAGAGCUUCUCCGCCCGCUUCCCCUACCGCCGGUACCGUAAUGACUCUCGGGGCCUCCACAGGUUGGGCAUCACUCCCGGGUCCCCCGACCGGAGGGGCCGGACCGUACGUUGGAUCGCCGCCUCCGCCCCCGUCCGACUCCAAGGUGCGGGGAGUUACCGUGAGCUGGCGCUGGCUCUCCUGUAGGGUGGAUAUUAGUUCCACGAGUUGCACUCUCUCUCGUUUGUUCUCCCUUUCCACGCGCUUCCUCUCCUCUGCGCGCUCCCUUCGCCGGAGCCUCUCAUGCUCCUUUUCCCUUUUCUCCCGGGACCGCGACCGGGACCGCGUGCUCCUAUCCCCGGGCGGGGGCGCGGGCCCGCUACGCCUGCUCCUCCUGAGCGACUCCCACCCGUAUCUUAUUUCCUCCAACUCCAUGCGUAACCUUUCCUCCUGGGCGUCCCACUCCUCGUUAGCCCUCAUCUCCUCCGAGUACCGGUCCCGCGAGUCAUGCGGCACCAGCCGGUAUUCCAACGUCCCUCGCUCGCGUCGUCUCGAGCAUUCUCCUAUCUGGUAUUCGCUUCUUCUUGUCAUCCUCCUCUCCGACUGUCGCGUGUUUGUUUCACGUCAGGUUCACCACUGUUGGUGUGUGGGCUCGCCGGAGUAAGCUCGCCGUCCAACCUAGUACAAGUGUUCCUCUAAGAAUUAUCAACCCCCUCCUCUGUUGGACCAGGGGAGGUAUUUAUAGCCUUCCAUUGCUGUCCUUGGGCCUCGUGGGCUCGCGCGUCGGGCCUAUUCGCUCGCCCGGGCCGCCGACGGGGCUAGUUUGGUCCAUGGGCUGCGGUCCGCGGUCCAUGGUACCAACAAUAUGUAAGCUAGAGAAUUAGAGAUAAUGUUUUCGAGAAAUUAGCCCAUCUUAAUUGAAGCUUGGAUGGAGAUUUACAAAGUAUGGUUGGCUCACUAGUCUCAGAAAUUAUUAAUGUUUCUGAGAUCCAGGGUUUGAAUCUUACUUUAUAUAUUUUCACUUAAAUUUACCCGAUGAUAUAUUAUGUAGCUCGAUCUGGUAUAUCAUCCGGAGGUUAACAACUUUACAUAUGUAGAGGUACUUUCCGUUAUCAAAAAAAAAAAUUGGUCGGAGAUUUACUCAUAAAACACCUUCUUGGGGUCUAUUAUGGAACUCUAUAUAAUUGACAUAUGUGGUUUCAAUAAAAUAGGAGACUCAAGCAACACAGUUGAAGCUUCCCCUUAUUGGAGUUUUCUUUUAUUGGUACCAUGGACCGUCUAGCAGUCCAUGGACCGAGCCAGCCGCACCACGGGCCCAAGCGCACGAGUGGGCCGAGCGGGCUAAGGCCCAGGAGCCGUGAGAGCAAAACACUAUAAAUACCUCCCCUGGUCCAUGAGGGGAGGGGGGUGAUAAUUCUGGAGAGAGAACACUUGUAUUGAAUUGAGGUAGUAAGCUUGCACCGACGAGCCCACACACCAACAUCUUUAGAAAAAUCAGGACAUUACUCUCGAUCUAGGUCUAGCCUGAAUCCAAAGUCCACUUGCGAUGUUCGAUCUUCCACGAGCCUCCGAGGCCUCAACCUAAUUACGGGUGUCUGAUCGCUCAUUUCUAGACCUCACUCUUAGUGUCGAUCGAUCUUGGUAUCACCAUUACACUCCUUGACCAGGGUGAUGGUCGUAACCGGGCUCCUUUAUAGUCCGAGUGCUAUCAGGUAUCACAAGUUCUGCUCCCCGUCCUCAUUCGGCAGAGGCAGUCAAGGAUCAUCCGUCUGCGAUUUUUGGUUUCUCCUUUUCUAUGUGGUAAUGUAAGUAUGUGACGGGCCAAAGCGUCACGCCAAACCUUCUGGUCAGGUGUUCUAUCAAACCCCCCCUUUCGCGUGGGGUGGCAGGGCGAAGCUAAAGGAACUAAUUACAUUAUUAGAUCCUAAGUGUGAUUAGGACUUAGUCGUAAUUUUGGAAUAAACAUUUGGGCAAAACACCAAGAGAAAAUAAACUCAGGGUGUUCAACGCAAAUGUUUCAAACAAAUUGUUAUGGGCCAAUUUAGUUCAAAGUUAAAUAAAAUACAGUAAUGGGCUAGUUUAAAUAAAAGCCCCAAAAUCGUUUAAAUCAACACUUUAGUUAAUAGAUAUUUGUAUCAACACUUGAUUAGUUAAUAGAUAUUUGUUUUAGUUAAGAGUUAAUUAUAGUAUAUAAGUAUUAUGUAAAUGAUGGAUUUAAUUAAUAAAAAUAAAAGUAUUUUACUUUUGUUAAUUACCUAGCUUUUUUCUUCUUCCAUUGUGCUCUCACCGUCCGUCUGCAAGCACACCAGCAAACACGCGCGAAGAGGGUUGAAGUUUUAAUAUGGUAUCAGAGAAUCGCCAUGAACACAAUCAAGAACAAAAGUCUGAAAUUAAUUCAGAAAAACACAAAAUUAGAGGUUCAGAAAACGACAAAAAAUAAAUCUGAACAUAACUCAUAAACAAAAUAAAGAAACAUCAGACAUACCUGGUUAUACUCAGACUGAUGUAAACAAGCAGAUUUGUCUGACUCAUCAGAAAUACCUGGUCAUACCCAGACUGAUGAGAAACAAGCAGAUGAAACUAGUCCAUCAGAUAUACUUGGUUGAUCGCGUCCCUUUAGAAAGGUGGCCGAUCUCCUCUAUUCUAGUAUAAUCACAAGUGUAUUACAAGUAUGUUCCAAAUGUUAUUACAAGUGAUCCCCCCUUUUUACACUUCACCCCUAGGGGUAUUUAUACAAUUUCCUAUCGGACUCUGGGUCCUAUGCUCUUGGAUUAGAAUCCGAUAUAACAGAUCCGAUAUACUUGGGACGCCUUCUUUGGGAAGUUAACCGUUCGGGCUGCCGGGUCCUUCCGGACGGCCUGGUUGGGCUAGCGUUCGUGUGAUUGAUGGGUCUAUCCGUCCGGUUAAAUCGGUCGAAUGUUAUUGGGAUGACUUGGGCUUUCUUCCUUCAUCUUGCUGGAUUUUGCCUUUGGACUUCUUCGUGGGCCUGGGCUGGUAACUUGGGGGUACCAUCAUUGGUCAUACCCAGACUGAUGUAAAUCAAACAAACAGGUCUGUUAAUUCAGAACAAAACCUGGAUAGACCUGAAGAGGAUAAAGACAAUUCAUAUAUAAUUUUUUAGAAACAAGUUGAAAACAACCGAAUCAAGACCAGCCAAAAGAAACAACACAUAAAAAAGUUGAAAUUGUCAAGUAAAAAGACAAAGAAAAUGUGAAUAAAAUAAUUAGGACAGGAAGGGCUAUAAUAAUACCAAAACAAUAUGAAAAUUUUUAUGUGGAAAAUGUAUACAAUAACAAAAUGAAGUAUCCAAUGAGUAACUAUGUCUUAUACCACAGAAUAAACAACAAACAUAAACACUACUUAAAGCAAAUAACAUCACAUGAUGAACCUAACUCAUACAAUGAAGCUUCGACAGACCCCAACUGGGUAGAAGCGAUGGAUAAAGAAAUGAGUGCAUUAAAAUUAAACAAUACAUGGACAUUAGGUGAACUACCCAAAGGGAGGAAGCUUGUAGGCUCAAAGUGGAUAUACAAAAUAAAGUAUAAGCCAAAUGAGGAAAUAGAAAGAUAUAAAGCCAGACUGGUAAUAAAAGGCUUUACUCAAAGAGUAGGUUUUGAUUUUUAUAACCUUUGCCCCAGUGGCAAAAAUGGUAACAAUUAAAAUAAUAAUUGCAAUUACUGCCCAAAAGAGAUGGAAUUUAUAUCAGAUAGAUAUAAAUAACGCAUUUUUUCAUGGAGAUUUACACGAAGAAGUGUAUUUAAAACCACCUCAAGUCCUACUCCAAGAAGAAGAUAAAAGAGUCUGUAAAUUAAACAAGUCCUUGUAUGGCAUAAAACAAACAUCGAAGAACUGGUUUGAAAAGCUAAAAGGGACACUAAUUGAGAUUGGUUUUAUACAAACCAAGGUAGACUACUCUUUAUUUACAAGAGAGAAGAGUCAAAAUAUCACAUAUCUAGUGGUAUAUGUGAACGAUAUAAUUUUAACUGGUAGUAAUGAUAUUGAGUUAAGUAUCAUUAAAAUACAACUAGAAAAUAAGUUCAAAUUAAAAGACCUUGGAAGGCUGAACUAUUUUCUAGACAUUGAAGUCUUAUACUCAGAAGAAGGGAUAUACUUAUCUCAGAGAAAAUAUGUUUUAGGCAUAUUAAAAAAAGUGGGCGCUCUCUGGGGCAAAAGAGUCUAAAAUUCCCAUGGAAAGGAACAUAGAUCUCAAAAGCAAAUCAAAACUAGUAGAGAACCCCACCUUCUACAGGAAGAUGGUGGGAAAGUUCAUAUACUUGAUAACUUGAAUAUAACUAGACCAUAUCUGAGCUUCCCAAUACACUGGCUAAGCCAAUUUAAUUAUGAGUGACCUUAGAGAAAUACAUACCAAAGUACUUUUUAAAGUACUCAGGUACUUAAAGAAUGCCCCAAGACAGGGAGGGACUCAUAUUAUACAAAAACAACAACGUAUACAAAAUAAACCUACAAGGAUACUGUGACUCAGAUUGGGCUUCCUGUCAAAUUAGCAAAAAGUCAGUAACUGGGUUCUGUAUCAUGAUAGAAGAAUCUAUAGUAUUUUGAAAAUCCAAGAAACAAAAUACAAUAUCUAUUAACAAUAGAAUAUCUCUGUAGAAUAUUACUUGUGUAUUGAAUGAAUCGUCAUGGUUGGAUACAUUGUCUAUUUAUACUAAUUUUCCUAACUAAUUUUCCUAACUAAUGAUCAUAUUUAACUGAUUGCAGUUCAGUUCUCACACACCCCCUUCAAUCUGAGUGCUCGAGCGAAGAUUGAGUUUUUCUUUUAAUACUGAGAACUGAACCGUCGAUAGACCUUUUGUGAAAAUAUUUGCAACUUGACAUUCCGUAGGUAUGUACGAAAUCUGAAGUACCCUUCUUUCAAUAAGUUCUCUUACAAAAUGGUAAUAUAUGUCCAUAUGCCUGGUUCGGUUCUUACCUGCUGGGUUUGAUGCCAGAAAAAGAGUUGACUUAUUAUCACAGUAUAUCAUUGGUGGUUUCUGGAUUUGAAUACCUAAAUCUCGUAAUAGAAAGCAAAGACCUCGAACUUCUGAAGUUGUGCUAGCUAGAGCCCGAUAUUCUGCUUCGGUACUGGAACGAGAGACUGCAGCUUGUUUCUUUGAAAACCAGUUUACUAUGUUUGAUCCUAUAUAGAAGCAUGCUCCAGUGUAAGAUCGUCAUGUAUCUUGGUCUCCUACCCAGUCAGCGUCAGUGAAUGCGUUAAUAGUGUUAUUUGAAAAUUGGUGUGAUGUUUCAUUGAAUAUUCGAAUAUCUCUCUUUUGAUCUUUGAAGUAUUGGAUGCCAUUAUUUGUAGUCCCUUUGAUGUAUCUUAGAAUACACUUUAUUGCUUUAAAGUGACUUGUUCUUGAAUUUUGUAAAAAUUGUGCCGCUUGUCCUACCGCAUAAGAUAAGUCAGGACGAGUUAGUGUGAUGUAUUGUAGUGACCCAACGAUUUGUCUAUACAGAGUGGGAUCAGAUAAGAUUUCACCGUCUGUGGCUGAUAGUUUUGAGCCUGAAGCUGUAGGAUUUGAGACAGAAGCACAGUUGUGCAUAUUAAACUUGGCUAGGAUUUCUUUUGCGUAUUUUUAUUGAGAGUUUAAUGCUCCUUCUUUAUUGUAAAUGAUUUCAAUGCCUAAGAAGUAUCUGAGCAAGACCAAAUCUCUACACUUGAACUGUUUGCAGAGAUGUGAGAUGACUUCGUUAGUGUGCUUGAGGUCAUUCCCUGUGAUGAUCAGAUCGUCAACAUAGACAAGAAUAUAUAUUAUUUUUCCUUUCUCUUUCUUUAUGAAGAGUGACGAAUCUGCCUUACUGUUAGUAAACUUCAUUCUUAUAAGGGUUGUUGCCAAUUUGUAAUACCAUGCCCGUGGAGAUUGUUUGAGACCAUAUAAUGCUUUCUUUAAUUUGCAUACGUUGUUUGGGUAAUUAUGAUCUUUAAAUCCUGAAGGUUGUCUCAUAUAGAUUAUUUCAGUUAAAUCUCCAUGUAAGAAAGCGUUGCAUACGUCGAGUUGGCGUAAUGGCGUGGACGAUGACAGUAUGAAUAGUCACGUAACGUAUUACUGGACUAUAAGUUUGCUCGUAGUCUGUUCUAUACUCUUGAUGUAGCCCUAUUGCUACUAAUUGUGCUUUGUAUCUGUUUAUUUUUGGAUCCAAUAACGUCAUAUCUGAGGUUUGUUUGACUAGUUCCCAUGUGUUGUUGAUAUGUAAAGCUUUUAUCUCUUCUUUCAUUGUUGUUGACCAUUUUGGUUGACUUAUUGCGAUCUUGUAUCCUGUUGGCUCUUUUUCUUCUAAGGAAGUUGUAUAGGCUACAUAGUCUUGAUCUUUAGUUGGUUUUCUUCUCUUUCUUUCUGAUCUUCUUAUUAGUGGUGUAUUUUGAAGUAUUUGUUUAUUUGAGGGCUCAUCUUGAUGAAGGCGUGUUGUUGUAGUGUGUUUGGAGCAGAGAAACGUUGAGUGAUUUCCUUUUUCUUGAGAAAAUCCUGAAGUUCUUUUCCUGAAAACUCGCCACCAUGAUCUGUUUGUAUUGUUUUUAUUUUCUUAUUUACAACAUUUUCUAUCAUUACAACAAAUUCUAAAAAUACUUGAUAAAAUUCAUUUUUCCUUCUAAGUGGAAAUAGCCACGUAAAGCGACUGUAAUCAUCAAUUAUUGAGACAUAAUAGUUGAAUGAAGAAAAUGAGUGUAUUGGUGAGGGGCCUCAUACGUCGAUGUGUAGUAGUUGUAACGGACGAUUUUCUCUCUCAAGCCUUCUUUCAAAUGGUAGACGGUGUGAUUUGCUUAAUGCACAAGAAUCACAAGACUUGUUUAACAUUGAAAUUGAUUUAUCAACUUUCUGUAUGACUUUAUUCGUUGGAUGACAUAACCUCCUAUGCCAUAUGGCUGAAUUUUCUUUCUCGCUCAAUAAGCAGUGCUUCGAUCUUUCUUGUAAGAGAUAUAAACUCCUACUAUUCCCAAUCAGUAUCGUAAUUCCUGUCUUCCUCUUUUUGACAAUAAAACCAUUUUCAGUUAAUAAAAUAUUAGCAUCAUGAUCAUGACAUAACCGCUGAAUUGAUAUGAGAUUUCUUGUGAGUUCAGGAAUGCAUAAUACAUUUUUGAGCAAGAUUUCUCCACGAGUUGUUUUUAUUUUGAUGGAACCAACAUGAGUAAUAUUUAAUGUUGUGCCAUCACCAAUGAAAAUAUUAUCAUUACCUUCAUAAGGAGCGUAAUCCGUGAAUCCAAAGGUUGAGGGAGACAUGUGAUGAGUUGCACCAGAAUCUAUUACCCACUCAUCAUCGACUUCACCAUUGUAUGUCACAUAGGCAUAAUUACCCCUUUGAUAGCAUUUCCUUACCGUGUGACCUGGUUUAUUAAAAAGUUGACAUAUGACAUUAUCAUUUAUAGAGGCUGGUACCUGAAUUUUUGAAUUUAAAUCACUAGAGUCGGAUUUUGCUUUCCCGUUCCCUCGAUGGGUAGAGAUAUUUUCAUCUUUGUGAUAGUCGCGGCGACGGUGAUGAUUAUUUCCGUAAUUAUUUUCACCUUGAUAGUCACGUUGAUUGUUGUUCUUCCCUUUUUGAUAGUAUUUUCUUCCUUUAAAAUUUCGACGAGGGCCACGAGAUGUAGCUAGAGCGAUACCUUCGACGACGUCAACGACGGAUGACUUGUUUAUUCGUUUUAGCAAAUGUUCCUCUUGUAACAAAAUUCCAAACACUUUUUGAAAAGUCAUGGAAUCUCUUUGGAAAUGUAGAUUAUGUAAAAAGUUGUUGAACUCGUCCCCCAAUCCGUCGAUUAUAUGGUCUAUUAGAUCAUCUUUCGAUACUGGAGUCCCACUUGCAAUUAGGGAAUCGACGAGUGAUUUUACUUGUAUAAUGUAGUCUGUCAUUGACAGAUCUGAAGUUUUCUUUAAUGUGCGCAGCUGAUCCUUUAUGUGUCUGGUAUGCUGUUUACAUUCUGGAGAUAGUGCUGCCUCUAAUUUCCGCCAUACAUCAAGUGCAAAAAUUUCAUUUCUAAUGACCGGACAAAUUGGGGGUGAUAUCGUUGCUUUGAUCCAUCCGACGACUAAAUAAUUCUCCUUUAACCACUGAUUGUAGUUCGGAUUUGGUAUAUCAUCACCAAUUGUUUUAUUUAGCGGAACAAAUUUCUCGUCGAUCAGAUGACCGAGGUCGUGGACCAGCAGCACGGAGGUAAAUUGAUCCCUUCACCAGAUGUAAUUACUCUUGAACAGAGGCGUAUGGCACCAUGACAAAAUGUUGAAUGUUAUUGGCAACACAUUUUGCACGGUUGCAGCAGCAACAACUACAGCAGCGGCGGCAGCAGCCGCAUUUCUUCCCGUCAUUCCUUUUGUAACCAACACACUGAAGAAUGAUCAAGAAGUUGUUGACUAAAACCGUAACGAACUGUUGCAGAAAUCCAGCAGCUGCAACGAACACGCGAUUCUGAAAUCGCAAAUCUGCACAGUAGCAGCAGAUCAGUUGCAGCAGCGCAGUAGCAGAUCGCGAUUCUGAAAUCGCAAAUCGCGAUUCAAACCAGCGCAGUAGCAGAUCAGGAUCAGCGGCAAAAUCCCCAAAUCGCAAUUUACACCAGCGCACGCGGAUGACGCAGCGGCAGCAAAUCGCAAAAAAAAAUCGCAAAAUACGGCGGAUGACGUAGUAGCAGCGGCGACCCAACUUCUCAGCUAGAAAUCGCAAAAUGCAGCAAUGGAUUUAUACGCGAUUCUUCUGAAAUCGCAAAUCCUUCCAGCGUACGUCCGUUCUGCAACAGGAUCUUCCCUCCGGAGUACCUACCGGAGUACCUAAGCUGAUACUAUAUUAACAAUAGAAUAUCUCUGUAGAAUAUUACUUGUGUAUUGAAUGAAUCGUAAUGGUUGGAUACAUUGUCUAUUUAUACUAAUUUUCCUAACUAAUUAUCAUAUUUAACUGAUUGCAGUUCAGUUCUCACAAUAUCAGUGUCAUCCUAUGAGGCAGGAUACAAAUCAAUUGCCAACACAACAUGUGAAAUUACAUAGAUAUACCAAUUGUUAACUGAAAUGAAAAUCGAAAUUAAUAAACCAACCAUACUUUACUGUGAUAAUAACUCAGCAAUACAUCUAGCAAAUAACUCUGUCUUUCAUGAAAGGACGAAACACAUAGAAAUUGACUGUUACUUUACAAAAGAGAAAAUAAGUCAAGGCAGCAUAAGCCUUAGACAGGUUGCACAAAAUGCCAAUUAGCUGAUAUGUUAACAAAGGCAGUUGAAGAAAAUGAAAUUACAACAGCAUGCUCCAAGCUUGGAAUAAGAAAUAUCUAUUCCAGAGCUUGAGGGGGAAAUAAAGGAACUAAUCACAUUAUUAGAUCCUAAGUGUGAUUAGGACUUAGUCGUAAUUUCGGAAUAAACAUUUAGGCAGAAAACCAAGAGAAAAUAAAAUAAGGGUGUUCACCGCAAAUGUUUCAAACAAAUUGUAAUGAGCCAAUUUAGUUAAAGAUCAAAAGUUAAAUAAAAUACAGUAAUGGGCUAGUUUAAAUAAAAGCCCCAAAAUCGUUUAAAUCAACACUUUAGUUAAUAGAUAUUUGUGUCAACACUUGAUUAGUUAAUAGAUAUUUGUUUUAGUUAAGAGUUAAUUAUAGUAUAUAAGUGUUAUGUAAAUGAUGAAUUUAAGUAAUAAAAAUAAAGUAUUUUACUUUUGUUAAUUACCUAGCUUUUUUCUUCUUCCAUUGUGCUCUCACCGUCCGUCUGCAAGCACACUAGCAAACACGCAUGAAGAGGGUUGAAGUUUUAAUAUGGUAUCAGAGAUUCGUCAUGAACACAAUCAAGAACAAAAGUCUGAAAUUAAUUCAGAAAAACACAAAAUUAGAGGUUCAGAAAACGACAGAAAAUAAAUCUGAACAUAGCUCAUAAACAAAAUAAAGAAACAUCAGACAUACCUGGUUAUACCCAGACUGAUGUAAACAAGCAGAUGAGUCUGACUCAUCAGAAAUACCUGGUCAUACCCAGACUGAUGAGAAACAAGCAGAUGAAACUAGUCCAUCAGAUAUACCUAGUCAUACCCAGACUGAUGUAAAUCAAACAAACAGGUCUGCUAAUUCAGAACAAAACCUGGAUAGACCUGAAGAGGAUAAAGACAAUUCAUAUAUAAUUUUUGAGAAACAAGUUGAAAACAACCAAAUCAAAACUAGCCAAAAGAAACAACACAUAAAAAAGUUGAAAUUGUCAAGGAAAAAGACAGAAAAUGUGAAUGAAAUAAGGAGGACAGGAAGGGCUAUAAUAAUACCAAAACAAUAUGAAAAAUUUUAUGUGGAAAAUGAAUACAAUAACAAAAUGAAGUAUCCAAUGAGCUAGUAGGCUCAAAGUAUCCAUACAAGGUCCUUUUUUUUGUAGUGCAAUAACCAAAGGGAGCUAGUAGGCUCAAAGUGGAUAUACAAAAUAAAGUAUAAGCCAAAUGAGGAAAUAGAAAAAUAUAAAGCCAAACUAGUAGCAAAAGGCUUUACUCAAAGAGUAGGUUUUGAUUUUUAUGAAACCUUUGCCCCAGAUCGGUAGUAUGGUAGACUGCAUAUAUCGUCCCUUGAAACUCGGCGAGUUUGCCCUAAAUAGACGAUUUUUAUACCUGAAUCGCCGAUUUACGACCGUUACUCGCCGCCAGCCUACGCCAUAAAUGCUCUCAUAUAUGGCAAUAGGCGCGAUGUCCGCCUUUGAUCGCGCCUGGUGAGACAUGCCCUAUUACAGCAGUCACUCCCAGCAACGCCUUUCAACAAGGACUAGGGUUCCGUCACUUUAGGACGGACCCCCAGAGAGCUAAAGGAAUUACAGUAUGUAAAUCAGAAUAAUAUAAUUUGAUUUAUAAAAGUAUCUUAAUCAUGGUUACAAGACCUAAGAGCAAUUAUCUGUUGAAGAAUACUAGACAGAUAAAUGACCCAAAAUAAUAACAAAGAAACUUUGGGUAAAGAUUGCAAAUAUUUAAGUGAAUGAUAUAUUUGUAAUAACAAAGAAACUUUGGGUAAAGAUUGCAAAUAUUUAAGUGAAUGAUAUAUUUGUAAUAACAAAGAAACUUUGGGUAAAGAUUGCAAAUGUUGCAAUAAUACAGUUGGGCUGAAAUUGAAUGGGCUACGGACCAGAGCAGAUGCAGUUAAUUAAGUGUUAAUAUUAUUGUUAAUAUUAGCAAUACAGUUAAGAUCUAAUACUGUUGUAAUAACUGUAAUUAGUGUUAAUUAAGUCCAACUGUAAUUAGUAUAUAUAAUACUCUGUAAAACCAUGAUUAAUUAAUCAAAUUAGAUACAAUUGAAUUCUUCCUAAACCUACGUUUAACGGAUACUAGGGGAGCAGUUAAUACGAAGAACCCUAGAAUCCGCCCCUUUCUUCCUCUCGUUGCUAAGCAACGAAUUGGGUGUCUGUCCGGCCAAUUCGACCUCAGUCAAUCACUCGAUAGCACCGGCGGUCACCCUCCCACGGAUUUAACAUGGUAUCAGAUGUUCCAGCCGCUGACCGCAAUUCAAGUAAAUCCGCUUCCGCUAAGAUUGUAGGCUCUGAUAAAGAAAAGGAGAUUUCCAAUGAAGAAAGCUCCACAAAUUCGAGCAGCCAAGGUAAAAGUAAAUCUUCUUCAAUUAAUUCAAAGAAUUCCAGCAGGUUGAAGAAGAAAACAGGUUUUAAAAAACACAAGAAGGAGACCAAGUACUCAAGAACCUCUCCUUAUUAUCUAACUGCUGGAGACCACCCAGGUGCCCAAAUGGUGGCAGAUAAACUUACAGGAGAAGGGAAUUAUGUAGCUUGGGCAAACAGUAUGAAGUUGUCUUUAGUUUCAAGGAAGAAGACAACUUUUAUAAAUGGAAAAAUAAAAAAACCUCUGAAUGAAACAGGGGAAGAUUAUGAGGAUUGGGAAAUGCUAAAUGGCCUAGUCCUCUCUUGGAUCAUCAACAGUGUUUCUCCCCAAAUCGCGUCAACUCUAAUUCAUACAGAAGUUGCAUAUGAAGCAUGGGCUGAUCUCCAAGAAAGAUACAAACAGAAAAAUGCACCUAAGACAAGUCAGCUAAGGUAUGAGAUAAAUACCUUAAGUCAAUCAGAUGAAACUGUUUCCAUUUUCUUUGAUAGAUUUAAGUCAUUAUGGGAUCAGUUUAUUGAAAUUGAGAAACCUGACUGCAAUUUUUGUGCAAGUUGUAUUCCAAUUUAUAAUAGGAAAUUGGAAAAAGAUAGAAUACAUCAUUUUUUGCUAGGAUUGAAUGACAAUUUCAGAAAUCUUAGGAGUCAGAUUCUAGCAUACCCUGAACUCCCUACUAUGAAUCAAGUCUUCUGUUUGGCAANNNNNNNNNNNNNNNNNNNNNNNNNNNNNNNNNNNNNNNNNNNNNNNNNNNNNNNNNNNNNNNNNNNNNNNNNNNNNNNNNNNNNNNNNNNNNNNNNNNNNNNNNNNNNNNNNNNNNNNNNNNNNNNNNNNNNNNNNNNNNNNNNNNNNNNNNNNNNNNNNNNNNNNNNNNNNNNNNNNNNNNNNNNNNNNNNNNNNNNNNNNNNNNNNNNNNNNNNNNNNNNNNNNNNNNNNNNNNNNNNNNNNNNNNNNNNNNNNNNNNNNNNNNNNNNNNNNNNNNNNNNNNNNNNNNNNNNNNNNNNNNNNNNNNNNNNNNNNNNNNNNNNNNNNNNNNNNNNNNNNNNNNNNNNNNNNNNNNNNNNNNNNNNNNNNNNNNNNNNNNNNNNNNNNNNNNNNNNNNNNNNNNNNNNNNNNNNNNNNNNNNNNNNNNNNNNNNNNNNNNNNNNNNNNNNNNNNNNNNNNNNNNNNNNNNNNNNNNNNNNNNNNNNNNNNNNNNNNNNNNNNNNNNNNNNNNNNNNNNNNNNNNNNNNNNNNNNNNNNNNNNNNNNNNNNNNNNNNNNNNNNNNNNNNNNNNNNNNNNNNNNNNNNNNNNNNNNNNNNNNNNNNNNNNNNNNNNNNNNNNNNNNNNNNNNNNNNNNNNNNNNNNNNNNNNNNNNNNNNNNNNNNNNNNNNNNNNNNNNNNNNNNNNNNNNNNNNNNNNNNNNNNNNNNNNNNNNNNNNNNNNNNNNNNNNNNNNNNNNNNNNNNNNNNNNNNNNNNNNNNNNNNNNNNNNNNNNNNNNNNNNNNNNNNNNNNNNNNNNNNNNNNNNNNNNNNNNNNNNNNNNNNNNNNNNNNNNNNNNNNNNNNNNNNNNNNNNNNNNNNNNNNNNNNNNNNNNNNNNNNNNNNNNNNNNNNNNNNNNNNNNNNNNNNNNNNNNNNNNNNNNNNNNNNNNNNNNNNNNNNNNNNNNNNNNNNNNNNNNNNNNNNNNNNNNNNNNNNNNNNNNNNNNNNNNNNNNNNNNNNNNNNNNNNNNNNNNNNNNNNNNNNNNNNNNNNNNNNNNNNNNNNNNNNNNNNNNNNNNNNNNNNNNNNNNNNNNNNNNNNNNNNNNNNNNNNNNNNNNNNNNNNNNNNNNNNNNNNNNNNNNNNNNNNNNNNNNNNNNNNNNNNNNNNNNNNNNNNNNNNNNNNNNNNNNNNNNNNNNNNNNNNNNNNNNNNNNNNNNNNNNNNNNNNNNNNNNNNNNNNNNNNNNNNNNNNNNNNNNNNNNNNNNNNNNNNNNNNNNNNNNNNNNNNNNNNNNNNNNNNAAAACAGCAACAAACACAAAAUCAUCAGAUAUACCUGCAAAUAAUAAGGCUGAUGAAAGAACAAAUUGCUGUAAUAAAAACAUAUAUGAGAAUAAAUCAUUAGAAACAAGUACAAACCCAGGGCAUAUCAUACAUUCAGAACAAGAGCAAAAUUGCUCAGAUCAAGAGCAGCACUGCUCAGAACAAGAGCAAAAAUGCUCAGAACAAGAGAAAAAUUGCCCAGAACAGGAACAAAGUUCAGAUACACCUCAAAAGCAGGCUAAUGAACAAAACAAAAGAAAAGAGUUAAUUCUAAACAAACAAUUAAUUGGUGGAGAACCAAUUAAUUCAGGUACUAAACAGGGCAGUCUAAAUAAAAAUCUCCAAAAUAGGCAAUGUCCAGAACAAGAACAAAUGCAUUCUGAAGAGAGACAAAACCCUGGACAGGGAUGUCUCAACACAACAAAUAGAAAUAGAAAUCUGACUAAACAAUCAUCUUUGUCAGAAAACACAUCAAAUCAAAACAAAAUAGAAUUAAAUGAAAGUGAAAAUGAUUCUUCACAACAAACAAACCACAAAAUAAGCUUGUAUGGAAGAAAAAUAACUAAACCAAAACAUUUUCAAGAUUUUAUUCUAGAAAAUAAAGGAAAAAUAAAACAAAAUGAACCAAAAUACCCAAUGAGCAACCAUGUCUCAUAUAAUAAAAUAAAUGAACACCAUAAACAUUUCUUAAAACAAAUAACAGUUAAUAAUGAACCAAGUUCAUACAAUGAAGCUUCAAAUGACCCAGAAUGGGUUGAAGCUAUGCAAAAUGAAAUGAGAGCCUUAAAAGAGAAUGACACAUGGACUAUCACAGAUCUUCCUAAAAACAGGAAAUCUAUUGGUUCAAAAUGGAUCUAUAAGAUCAAGUAUAAACCAGAUGGCCAAGUAGAAAGGUAUAUAGCAAGACUUGUUGCCAAAGGCUUUACACAAAAGGAAGGUUUCGAUUUUUUUGAAACUUUUGCACCUGUAGUUAAAAUGGUAACUAUAAAAACCAUAAUAUCAGUUGCCUCCAUCAAAGGAUGGAAUCUAUAUCAAUUGGAUGUAAACAAUGCUUUUUUGCAUGGUGAUUUACAUGAAGAGGUUUAUUUGAAACCUCCACAAGGCUUACUUGAAGAAAAAGAUAAAAGAGUAUGCAAACUGAACAAGUCAUUAUAUGGCUUGAAACAAGCUUCAAGAAGCUGGUUUGAAAAGCUAAGAGGAGUAUUAUUAGAAAUAGGGUUCUCCCAAGCAAAAUCUGACUAUUCCCUCUUCAUUAGAGAAAAAAAUCAGAAUAUAUUAUACNNNNNNNNNNNNNNNNNNNNNNNNNNNNNNNNNNNNNNNNNNNNNNNNNNNNNNNNNNNNNNNNNNNNNNNNNNNNNNNNNNNNNNNNNNNNNNNNNNNNNNNNNNNNNNNNNNNNNNNNNNNNNNNNNNNNNNNNNNNNNNNNNNNNNNNNNNNNNNNNNNNNNNNNNNNNNNNNNNNNNNNNNNNNNNNNNNNNNNNNNNNNNNNNNNNNNNNNNNNNNNNNNNNNNNNNNNNAGGUACAUUAAAAAUGCAUCAGGGCAAGGAGUUUUAUAUAGUAAAAAUGCAAGAAUGAUGAUUAGGGGAUAUUGUGAUGCUGAUUGGGCAGCUUGCCAAAUAAGUAGAAAAUCAUUAACAGGGUUUUGUAUCAUGCUAGGAGAUUCAUUAAUCUCUUGGAAAACCAAGAAACAAAACACAAUAGCCAGAUCAUCAUGUGAAGCAGAAUAUAGAGCUAUAGCUCAAGUAACAUGUGAGAUUGUAUGGAUCCAUCAAUUAAUGGAUGAACUAAAAAUCAAUAUUACUAAACCCACAGACCUCUACUGUGAUAAUAAAUUUGCAAUCCACCUAGCGAAUAACCCAGUCUUCCAUGAGAGAACAAAACACAUAGAGGUGGAUUGUCAUUUCAUAAGAGAGAUGAUAAAUAAAAAAAUAAUCUCAUUGAAGCAAAUUGGAACUAAAUUCCAACUUGCGGACUUUCUCACAAAAUCACUUGGUGAGAAAGAGAUCACAACAUUCCACUCCAAGCUUGGAAUAUUAAACAUAUACUCCAAGGCUUGAGGGGGGAGUAAAGGAAUUACAGUAUGUAAAUCAGAAUAAUAUAAUUUGAUUUAUAAAAGUAUCUUAAUCAUGGUUACAAGACCUAAGAGCAAUUAUCUGUUGAAGAAUACUAGACAGAUAAAUGACCCAAAAUAAUAACAAAGAAACUUUGGGUAAAGAUUGCAAAUAUUUAAGUGAAUGAUAUAUUUGUAAUAACAAAGAAACUUUGGGUAAAGAUUGCAAAUAUUUAAGUGAAUGAUAUAUUUGUAAUAACAAAGAAACUUUGGGUAAAGAUUGCAAAUGUUCCAAUAAUACAGUUGGGCUGAAAUUGAAUGGGCUACGGACCAGAGCAGAUGCAGUUAAUUAAGUGUUAAUAUUAUUGUUAAUAUUAGCAAUACAGUUAAGAUCUAAUACUGUUGUAAUAACUGUAAUUAGUGUUAAUUAAGUCCAACUGUAAUUAGUAUAUAUAAUACUCUGUAAAACCAUGAUUAAUUAAUCAAAUUAGAUACAAUUGAAUUCUUCCUAAACCUACGUUUAACGGAUACUAGGGGAGCAGUUAAUACGAAGAACCCUAGAAUCCGCCCCUUUCUUCCUCUCGUUGCUAAGCAACGAAUUGGGUGUCUGUCCGGCCAAUUCGACCUCAGUCAAUCACUCGAUAGCACCGGCGGUCACCCUCCCACGGAUUUAACAAGAGCUCCCACGGUGCGGAACAAAGGGGAGUAGGGUGGGUACCAACCCUUUCAUGUACCCCGUUAUGGCCAGACUCGGGAUUAAGUAGCUCACUUCUGUCAAUAUUGAAGUGAACUUAAUCGUAUAAUCCCUUAACGACGCAUUGCAGAUAUUUUCACCAAAUCACUAGGUGAAAAUGAAAUUUCAGUAUUCUCCGUCAAACUUGGAAUUCACAAUACGCAUUCCAAGGCUUGAGGGGGGAGUAUAAGAAUAUAGCUGAAAUACAGGGUAAAUAAGCAAUUUACCAUAAGAAACAAGCUUAGGAUUUAAAUGUAAUAUAAAUAACCCAAGGGUUAUGACAAAACAGAAUAAACUGUUUUGUUAUAAACCAACAAGGGUUCUUUUAUAAAUGUUUCAAUAAAUAUCAUUUGGACCUAAGCGCAAUUCAAAGAAACCAAAGGUUUUCGUAAUGUAACUGAGAUCGAUAAAUAGGAGGAUCGAAUCAUAAAAGUCUCAGUUAUCCUAUAUAAUUAGCUUGAGGACGGUUAUGCAAAUAACACAAAACUAAAUCAGGUCAAAUGGACCUGGUUGAUAUUACUAAUAAGUUUAUAUACUUGUGCAGAAUUAUUACAGUUAAUCGGGAUUGGACCACACGACUCGGAUCAAGAACCGACCCAAAUAAAUUAGAGUUAACUAAAUUAGUUAUAUUGUAAGCUGUUAAUGAUUCUGCGAUAUGUGUAUAAAUAAACACGAUUAAGAUUUAAUACACACUCAAUGUUUUUACAAAGUUAAUCAAUAAAGAAAAAGAUUAACUAAAACAAUUUCAUUUCAUUCCUCCUCCUUCUUUCUUUCUUCCCACUCGUCCGGUAGUUAUUUCAGAUUCUUCCCCAAAACCAUUUGGGCGGAAAACCCUAACGCCAUCCGAGCUCACCGACGAUUGGAGAGCUUCCAGACUUCGGAAAUCUCGCACAUUGCUGACGGCGACGCUUCCAGUAGCGGUUUUAAUAUGAGCGUCAUGCCACGUACCUAAAGCGUCCUCAAGGGUUUUGUUUUAUUGAAUAAGUGUGUGAGGUUGACGGGCCAAAGUGUCACUUCGGUCAUCGGGACUUCGAAAGAAGAUGAUAGGUCUAAGCAUCACAUCAAUUCUUCGGACUUUACCCUCAUAUUUCUUUAAAAAAUUAUUUGUAGUCGGUGGGCCAUAGCAUCAAUAACACCAACUACCCGAACGCGGUCUUAUUCUCGUGAUCGUCCCAAGCACAAAACCAACAACUUUAUAUGUUGUUUGAAGUUUAUUUUUGUAAGGAGGAAACAUCUUCUAUUUAGAAAGGGCCCGAUGAGACUCGUGGUAAUAGAUAGACGAUCCGCUGGAGAUAGACGAUUCGGAGAGGAAUCGUGGUGAUACAAGAUCUCGUAUACAGAUCAUAUUUACCAGGAAAUGAAAAAAAAUCUGAAAAGCUUGGUACGUCGAAAGAGGAAGUACUGGUGAUACAAGAUCACGUGCUUGAUCACAUCACCAGCACCUGAAAAUUCGGAAUAACGACCCGUAUAAAUUGAGGGAUUUCAAAUCGAUUUUAUGACCGGUCGACUUUCAAUGUAUUCAAAUCCUCUUCGGUUUUAUAAUUUUAUUUAUAUUAUUGAAAUUUGAUGACCAAAUUAAGUUUAAAACAUAAAAUGAUACACAGGAAUUUGAAUGGGAUCUAGCAAUCGCCCAUGCAUACACACACUUUACCUACGGGGUAUUUAGAUGCAGUAUUACACUCACCAUCUUUGUAUAGGAAUUUCUGGCAUUGGACUUUACAAUCGCUAUCUUUGGUGCAAGAAUUAUUAGUGAAAUCCUUGGGACAUAACUUCUUUUCUACAAUUUCCAUCUUUUUUACAGCCCCUGUCAAAUCUUCUUCGAUCAUUCUUUCUGUACUACCUAAUUCAUCCUCAUUGGAAUCAUAAAAAUAUUAGAUCCAGGAAAUUCGAGAACUAAAGAUUAAAAUAAGACAAGAAUCUAGGAUUACCUAAUGGAAACCAGAGGAACAACACAGCAACGGUAAAAAGGCAAAUGAACAUAAAUCCCUCAAUUCCUCCAACUUUGGCCAUCUCUUGUUUACAAUUCUAUUCAAAUGGAAGAACUGGAAGAAAGAAAGAAUGAUUUUUUGAGUUCCUGAAAAUCCAAUCACAUUGAAAUAUAUAGGAAUGAAAUAUAUUGGAAAAUAAUUAAUUUUGAUUUUUUUAGAUUUUUUUAGAUUAUAUCUAUUAUGAUUUGUGAUGUCAUAUUGUAUAUUAUUAUAUAUGUAUAUAAACAACUUAAUAUACAUAAUACUUAAGGAGUAAUAUAUAAAUUAUUCUUAUUAAUUAUAAUAAAUAUUCAGUCAAAAUUAUCGCUAAUGUUUAUCUGAGUUAACUAGUUUUUCAAUAAAAGUGCUUUUAACUAAUUUACUUAAAAGGCAAAAAAUGAAAACCAUCUGCCCCGCCCCAAGUUACCACCGGGGUGCAUACCGAGGCGGGAUCGGGUCGACCCGUCCUAUUCAUGGAACAACCCGAGAUGAGAUCUACAACGAUACUUUAUCCAUGGAACAACCGGCAACUGGAACUACUAACUCCUCCUACAUAGGACCGGGAUCGGGGCCGGUAAGAGGGAAACCGAGGAAAAAGAGGACAAGGUGUUAGAACUAUACUGAUAGAUGAUUUCGUAUAUUAGUAUAUAGAUUAGUAAAGAAAUAAAUAAAUAACAGAAAUUGUUAGUUCGUUAGAUGAUAAACCAAAUAGGAAUUGUAUAUAUAGAAACCCCUAGAUUCAAUAAAGGGAUCGCAACUUGUUUCUUCUUCCCCAAUUUCCAGAUUGCAUUGUUAUGGUAUCAUUCGCCAGCUAGAUUCUGGGGAGAAUUAAUCGUUUCGAUCCUAGGAGCUGCUCUCCAUCAUCUUCGACGAACAUCAGAUCCGCUGCCCGAUGACGUCUGGAGGUGUUGACAUGAGAGUUCCGGCUGCAAACCAAGCGCUCGGCAGCGACGCAUCUGAAAAGAUCAUCAUGGCCAAGCACUUCAAAACUGUAGCCCUAGAUCGCAAUAACUAUUUUGCGUGGGACUAAUAUCCGAGGAUAUGAUCUGAUGGGAUAUCUCACCGGAGACGUGAAAUUAGAUACUCCGGCGGCGAUUAAACAAGAUCAGAUAAUACUUGGAUGGUUAUUCUCGUCGAUGUCGGCAUCUGUUCUCCCGGAUGUUUCGGACUGUGACACAUCGCAUCAGGUAUGGUUAAAUCUUCAAAUGGAUUAUGCAUCCAACUCACGAUCGCAGAUAAUGAGCCUACGACAGAAGCUGCAAAAUCUGAAAUUAGGGGGCAGAUCGAUUUCAGAAUACCUUGCUGAAAUCAAUACUAUACUGGAGGCAUUAGCGGUUGCGGGUGAGAAAAUUAAUGAUACAGAUUUAGUCAUUCUUGUUCUAGCAGGAAUGGGAGACGAAUACGAAACGCUGGUACAGAACGUUAGUUCAAGACCUGAUGAAGUUUCGUAUAAAAUGUUGAAAGCUAUGUUGACUGACAUGGAGGUACGACAACAUCGAUCCAGGCAGUUGAAUCCCAUAAGUGCCAAUGUGGCUGAAAGCACGGAUAAAUAUGGAGAGAAUUCAAAGAAUAGUAAACUGGUGAUGUGUCAAAUUUGUUCAAAGAAAGGACACAAUGCAUUAAACUGUUUUAAUAGAAUAAAUCUAUCAAAAUUUCCACCACAGCAUAACAGGACUUUAUCUCCUUCUGGGACUACGGGCAAGGCAUCCGUGAACAUGACGUAUGAGGCCUGAACGUCGGUUUGGUAUCCGGACUCCGGAGCGACAAAUCAUAUAACUUAUGAGGAGUCGAACAUUCAAAAUGCAAAAGCUUGCAAUAGAUCGACCAAUACCGCGGAUGGGCGCCCAAUGAGCAUCACACAUACGGGUACAUCGGUAUUUUCUUCAAAUAACAUAAAUUUUGUACUUGAUGAAUUGUUAUUAGUCCCAGCUGCAACUAAAAACUUAUUAUCUGUGAAGAAGUUCUGUAGUGAUAAUAAGGUUUCGAUUGAAUUUAAUUCUCGGACCGUGAAGGUGAAAGAUCUGGAAUCGAAGAAGAUAUUAUUCGUUGGCAAAGAAAGUAAUGGGCUGUAUGAAUUACCCAUUAUGAUGCGAUCUGAAAUGCAGGCUAAUCAGGUGAACGAAGGACUGAAUGCUGAUGCGAGGACAUGGCAUUUACGCCUAGGACACUUACAUGCUCGAGCAAUGGAGAAUCUUCAUAGAAAGAGAAUAAUCAAAAUUUCAGACGUAGAUCAUCUUAAUAAAACUUAUGAUGAAUGUUGUAUAAAUAAAAUUCAUAAAUUGCAACAUAUUUUCAGAAAAACUGUAUAUUCCGAUCCAUUAGAAUUGAUUUUUACCGAUAUAUGGGGACCGGCCCCGGAAAGCUCGAUUGAAGGAUAUCGAUAUAAUUUAAAUUUUGUAGAUGUUGCUACAAAUUUUAAUUGGGUAUAUCUUCUAAAAAGAAAGAGUGAGGUCAGUAAAUGUUUCUCGAAAUUCAAAGUGUUGGUCGAAAAACAAUUCGGGAGAUCUAUCAAAUCUAUUCAAAGCGACAACGCAAAAGAAUUUCUUAAACUCACAGAAAUGCUGCGACAGAAUGAGAUUAUUCACAGAUUAAGUUGUCCACAUACACAUCCUCAAAUGGGAAAGGUAGAACGCAGGCACCGGCACAUAGUCGACACUGGGCUAUCUUUGUUAAAGCACGACGGAAUAGCUACAACGUAUUGGGACUAUGCUUUUAUGGCUGUUGUGUACCUAUAUAAUAGAAAUCCCACGGUCAUAUUAGAACACUGAUCACCGUCUGAAGCAUUGUACAAGCGAUUACCGGAAUACGGGAAACUUCGAGUUUUUGGAUCGAAGUGUUUUCCUAACGUGCAUACAGAAAUAACAAGUUAGAAGAUAAAUCGGCGCCAUUCUUGUUCAUGGGUUAUCCGGCUAACUCCGAUGGAUACAUAUGCAUGAGCCCUAAUGAUGGGAGGAUUGUUGUAUCUAGAGAUGUCAAAUUCAUUGAAGAUAUAUUCAUAGUAGGAAAGAAAGACGACAAGUAUGCAGAUCUGGAUCGGGAAGAUCAAUAUGUAAAACUUGGGCAGAAAUUGAACUAUUCGAGUCAAAAUUCAAAUCCUGAUGAAAACAACCAACAAUCGACAGAUACGGGGGAUGGGGAGGUCAUUCCAUCUGAUUCGGAAGACAAGGUGGUCAUUCCAUUCGAAGAUUUUCGAUUAGCUAAUUCGAAAGAUGAGGUGGUCAUUCCGUCCGAUCAACGUCGAUCUAUUACCAGAAAGGUGAAUGGCAUCUUCAAACUGAAUCCACGAUAUGCACUUACUAUGGCAACAUCUCAAAAGAUAGCACCCACAUCGGUGAAAGUUGCACUACAGAAUCCAGAGUGGAAAGUGGCAAUGCAAGAAGAAUACGAUGCCUUAAUGAAGAAUCAAACUUGAGAAUUGGUGCCGAGGACAGCUGGCGACAAUGUCAUCAACAACUUAUGGUUAUUCAAGGUUAAAGAAAAAUCAGAUGGCACGGUCGAACGAUUGAAGGCGAGAUUGGUGGCAAACGGAAUGUCUCAAAUCGAGGGAAGAGACUAUAACGAAACGUUCAGCCCAGUUGUAAAAGCGGUAACGAUUCGCGUAGUCUUGACGAUAGCUAUAUCAAAGAAUUGGGACAUGCUACAGAUCGACAUAAGUAACGCAUUUUUGCAUGACAAACUUGAUGAAAGAAUCCUAAUGCGGCAACCAAUAGGAUUCAUGGAUGAACGGAAACCGAAUCAUGUAUGCUUGUUGAAAAGAUCAUUGUAUGGGCUUAAACAAUCUUCGCGAAUGUGAGGCGCCUCAAGGAUUUUCUACACACAAUGGGAUUCCGAGUGUUGAAAUAAUGGAAUUAGUUUUCAAUUGAGUAGUUACAAAUAAUAAUCAUAAUUAGUUAAGUAACCAAUAAUCUGUAAUACUAUAAAUAAGACUCAAUCUUCUACAAUAAAGAUAUCAAGUUUUACUGGUUCAUCUUUCGGUCAUCUUCUUCCUCUGCUCCGGUGAACGACGUUCUUCCACUGCUCCGGCGAACGUCGUUCUUCAUCUGCUCCAUCGGCAUCUGCUCCAUCUGCUCCAUCGGCCAACGUCGCCUCACUCCAAUAUGGUAUCAUCGACCAGCAAUGCCGAUGGGGCUAUAGAUCCAGAUUUCGCUGCACAUGCGACAUUGGACGACACUCUAACAGAUACUCCGAUUUCGAAUCGCUCAUCGGAGAAGGUAGUUAUAAUCAAGCAACUGAAAUGUGUCACUCUAGAGGAGGACAACUAUUUCAGCUGGAGAGCCCAGUUCUCGGCACUUCUCCGAGGUUAUAGGCUCUUCGACUAUGUGGAAGGGAAGAUCAAAAUCCUCGAUGGGUCUUCCAACGAGCAACAGGACCAAAUUAUUUUGAGCUGGAUGCUGUCGGCGAUUUCUCCGGCCAUCUUACCUCAAGUAGCCACGCUCACCACAUCACAUGAGGUAUGGGAAUGCCUUCGACAACUAUACUCGUCAGGUUCCGAAACGAGAUUACUUCACCUCCGUAUGAAACUGCAAACCAUCAAGAAAGGCACAAUGUCAAUGUCACAAUACAUCAAACACAUUGUGGUCACUAAGGAUAAGUUAGCAUCGGCCGGUGAAAAUUACCCGACUCGCAAAUAAUACUGAUAGCUCUCGGAGGAUUGGGUUCAGAAUACAAACCUUUCGUAACUUCUAUUACGACUCGUUUCGACCACGCGAUGACAUUCACACAUCUUCAACAACUGCUAAUGGAUCAUGAACUUCAGGAUGAACAAACUGAUAACGUCGAAGCAAAUGCGGUUACAAGAACAAAGAAAUACGAAGACAAAAAUCCUAACAUAAAGUCGCUACCCUGCCAAAUCUACUCACGCAAGGGCCACGGCGCUCUCAACUGCUAUAGCAGAGUCAACUUCUCAAGGUUUCCCCCAACGCACAACAGGAAAUUGAUCCCGAUCGGAAUCGAUGCUAGUACACCUUCGACAAAUGCAGUCUCAAUGUGGUAUCCGGAUUCCGGCGCAACCACACAUAUCACGUCUAAUGAUAAGAUCCUUACAUCAUCUGAAAAAUAUAGAGGGUCAGAAAGAGUAAUGGCAGCCAAUGGGGAACCAAUGAAAAUCUCCGAUUCAGGUAAAUGCACUUUGAUGUGCAAGGAAAAAGAAUUUAACAUGAAGGAUGUAUUGGUAGUUCUAGAGAUAUCUAAAAAUUUACUCUCCAUUCAUCAACUGUGUAUUGACAAUCCCGUCUCUGUUGAAUUUGAUAAACAGAGAGUAAGGAUUCGCGACCUCGCAACUAGGGAGGUGGUAGCAGAAGGCAGACAGGAGAGUGGACUCUACCAGUUACCGAUGAAAACAUCGUCUCACCUAGAAGAGUUAUCCAACGAUAAGGUGUCAAGUGAGCGAUGGCACUCAAGACUUGGGCACCUCAAUAAACAAACUAUGGAAAAACUAGUUGAUAAAAAUUUAAUAUCAUCGGACUUUAAAACAAUGUCAGACUGUGAUUCAUGCUUAAGAAAUAAAUCAAGUUCUUUACCUCACAAAAUAAGUAAUACAAUAUAUGCAUCUCCUCUAGAUCUAAUAUACAUGGAUAUUUGGGGUCCGGCCCUGAUUCUUUCCUCAGAAGAUUUUCGUUAUUACAUAAACUUUGUUGACGCCGCAACAAAUUUUAAUUGGGUUUUUCCAUUAAGAAAUAAGGCAGAGGUCGGAUAGAUUUUCGAUCGAUUUCAAUGUUGAGCAGAAAAACAAUGUGGGACAAAGAUCAAAGAAGUACAAUCUGACAACGCUCUAAAGUUCAAGAAAUUGGCAAGAAAUCUUGAGAAAACCAGCAUCAACUACCGGUUCUCUGCUCCCUACAGUCACCAGCAAAUGGACUCCGUAGAGAGACGUCACAAGCACUUGAUAGAUACAAACUUACAAUGCUACAACACGCCGGGAUACCAGUCACCUACUGGGAUUAUGCGGUAGAAACAGCAGCACACAUAUAUAAUCGAAAUCCAUCCAAAGUAUUGAACAAUGCAUCACCAUACGAGGUUCUGUUCCAACAACAUCCUGAUUAUAGAAAACUCUGGGUAUUUGGGUCACGAUGUUACCCUUGCCUUCGCAGUUAUCGAUCUAACAAGUUGUCACAAAAAUCAACACCAUGUAUUUUCUGGGCUACCCACAGAAUCAAGAUGCAUACCUGUGUUACGACCCGAUCGGCCGGAAAAUGUACAUCUCCAGAGAUGUACGAUUUCUUGAAGAAGAUUUCUCAAUAAAUAAGUAUUUGUGCAAGGACAAAGGUGAAAAUUUCACACAAUCAACAGAUGAAAGGCAGAUGAUAAACUAUCCUAUUAUUCGAAAAGAAAUGAUACUUAACAAAAAGGUAUCGGGUACGAUUGGCAACCAACCCUCCUCACCAAAUAAAAGGGUAUCAGAUACAUUCCCAACGGAAUCCGAGUAUCCAAAUAAAAUCAACUCAACAAAUUAUUCAACGGAAUCGGGUUCAACAACCGAUUUAACAAGCCCAAGUUCGGAAUCUCAAUUAGGUUCGACCAGCUCAACCGAAGAAGAAGAUUCGGAUCGCACCACUUCAGAUUCAGCAAUUGAUAUCGAAAGUCCGAUAACAUCUCCAGCAGAACCAAACGUAACGGAGAUGAACGUUGGCAACGAAACUCACACCAACAAUCGACCAGUCACGAGAGCUUCGAGAGGUAUAAUCAAACCAAAUCCGCGAUAUGCGUUGGCAGUAACAGGGAAUGGAAAAUUCAUACCUCGAUCCCCAAGAGCAGCAAUGCAAGAUCAGAACUGGUUAUCGGCGAUGCAAGCAGAGGUUCUCGCAUUGAAGAAAAAUGAAACAUGGGAACUAAUAGACAGAUCGCCGGAGGACAACGUCAUCAAUACCAAAUGGAUUUUCAAAAUAAAUCAACGCGAGGACGGGUCGAUAGAACACUAUAAAGCGAGAUGGGUAGUAAAUGGAAUGAAACAAAUCGAGGGGACGGACUACACACACACACUUUCAGUCCGGUGGUGAAGCAAAUUCAGUCCAACUUGUUCUCACCCUAGCCAUAAGCAGAAAUUGGGCACUAAGUCAAAUCGAUAUCUCCAAAGCCUUUCUUCACGGGGAGAUAAAUGAAUGAAUUAUUGUUACACAGCCGGCCGGAUUUGAGGAUCCAAAGCACCCCAACCGAGUGUGCUUACUCAAGAAAGCGCUAUAUGGGUUGAAACAAUCACCCCGGAUGUGGUACCACAGGCUUCGAAAUUUCUUAAAAACUAUAGGGUUCAAUGAGAGUUAUGCUGAUCCAUCAUUGUUCUUAUUGGAUCAAGAAAAUGAAAGCAUCUUCCUAUUCGCAUAUGUCGACGACAUUGCGAUAACGAGUUCGUCGGAAAGAAAAGUAAAAGAAAUAAUAACAAAAUUGGGAAACGAGUUCGUCUUAAGAGAACUAGGGGAACUAUCGUUCUUUCUAGGAAUUCAAGUUCGACGGAAGGACAAGUUCCUAUUUCUGUCUCAACAACAGUACCUAGCAAACUUACUCGAAAGUUGCAACCUCACUAACUUAAAACCGUCGACCACGCCGAUGUUAGCGCAACAGGACUUAUUUUCUAAAGAAUCACUAAUUACAGAAUCAACAGAAUAUAGGCGAAUCAUCGGAUCACUCCAGUAUCUCACACUCACCCGGCCAGACAUCCAGUUCGCGGUAGAUAAGCUCGCCCAAUUCAUGUCCUCACCCAAACCGUUACAUUGGGUGGCAAUGAAAAAGGUUCUACGUUAUCUAUCCGGAACAAUUACACUCAGGAUCACUCUAUCUGCGAUAACCAAUUUCGCUCUCACAGGAUACUGUGACGCGGACUAGGGAGGAGACACCAUAUAUCGGAGAAGCCAAACGGGAAUAUUAAUUUACCAGGGGAAAUACUGGUUAGCUGAUACUCACGGAAAUAAACUACAGUGACCAGGUCAAGCAACGAGGCCGAGUAUAGGGCUAUCACAAAUACAGUAGAGGAACUAGAAGCAACGAAAUCGCUUCUGACAGAAUUAGGGAUAAAGGUUCCAACGCCAAUGAAAAUACUUAGUGACAAUCAAGGGGCAACAUUCGUGGCAAACAAUCCGAUUUGUCACACAAAGCUCCGGCACGUCGCGAUGGACCUGCAUUUCGUACGAGAAAAGACAGACACAGGUGAUAUAGAAAUUCAACACAUUUCAGGGAAGCUACAACGAGUAGACAUACUGACUAAGGAGUUAAAACCUGUACUAUAUGAGAAUCUUCGACUCAACCUCGUCGGAGAGUCCCCGUCGGGUUGAGGGGGGCGUGUUGAAAUAAAGGAAUUAGUUUUCAAUUGAGUAGUUACAAACAAUAAUCAUAAUUAGUUAAGUAACCAAUAAUCUGUAAUACUAUAAAUAAGACUCAAUCUUCUACAAUAAAGAUAUCAAGUUUUACUGGUUCAUCUUUCGGUCAUCUUCUUCCUCUGCUCUGGUGAACGACGUUCUUCCACUGCUCCGGCGAACGUCGUUCUACAUCUGCUCCGGCCAACGUCGCCUCAAACCAAUACCGAGCAAGCGAAUCAGACGCAUCUUUGUUCAUACGGCAUGAUGAAGAAACGACUUAUAUUCUCGUCUACGUAGACGAUAUGGUCAUUAUAGGAUCAAGCCCAACAAAGGUGAAACAAUGUUUAAAUGAAUUGUCAUUUGAAUUUACAGUUAGAUCACUGGGAAAACUUGAUUAUUUUCUGGGCAUAAGAAUGAGGGAUCGAGAUGAUGGUCGAUUUCUUGAUCAACAACUCUAUCUAACUAAUUUGAUAAAAAUGUGCAAAUUUGACAAUAUUCGACCUGUGAUAACCCCGAUGGAAGCAAAUAUUGAUUUACGAGGAGAAGGCAAGAUAUUGGAGAAUCCCACCGAAUAUAGAAAGAUUGUGGGAUCUCUUCAAUACCUUACUUUGUCGAGGUCGGACAUUGCAUUCGGCGUAUGCAAAUUAGCUCGGUUUAUGGAAAAGCCACUCGAUAUUCACUGGAACGCAUUGAAAUGAAUGAUGCGAUACUUGGCUGGAACGCAAGAAAUGGGGAUCAUAUUGAAGAAAUCGCAAAACUUCAAUAUAUCGGCAUAUUAUGAUGCGGAUUGGGCUUCAGACAUGUUUGAUCGUCGAAUUCACACGGGAUACAUGGUUUACAUCGGGGAAUCACUGAUAACAUGGUCUUCAAAGAAACAAAGCACGGUGUCAAGAUUGAGCACGAAGUCUGAAUUUAGGGCCAUAACAUCGACAACGGCAGAAAUCGAAUGGGUGGCGUCACUGUUGCAUGAAUUAGGAAUUGAAAUCAAGAAACCGUAUAAAUUACGAAGUGACAAUCUGGGUGUAACCCAACUAGCGGCGAAUCCAGUAUAUCACACCAAAAUCAAGCAUGCUGUGCUAGAUUUCAGAUUCGUCAGGGAAAGGGUAGAAAAGAAAACCUUAUCAGUAGUUCACAUCUCAAACAAGUUUCAAAAAGUUGAUACGUUGACAAAAGCACUUCGAUCAUUUGGAUUUCUAGAGCUCAGAGACAAUCUCGUCAGUUCACACCGACAAGAUUGAGGGGGUCUGCUAGAACUAUAUUAAUAGAUGAUUUCGUAUAUUAGUAUAUAGAUUAGUAAAGAAAUAAAUAACAGAAAUUGUUAGUUUCUAGAUGAUAAACCAAAUAGGAAUUGUAUAUAUAGAAACCCCAAGAUUCAAUAAAGGGAUCGCAACUUGUUUUUUCUUCCCCAAUUUCCAGAUUGCAUUAUUACAAGGGUAUCAAAAAAGCCUCCGACAACAUUGCUUGAUACAAAUACCGCGAAUUUUCAAGCCAUGGUGCAACAAUUCACUGGACACCAACCCGACCCACCGAUGGUUAAUUAUCAUCAUCAACUUGGAAGUCUGAAUCACUUGUCCAACAGUAGUAGCUAUGUUGCUGAUCCAUUCGGGACGCAGUUAGGGCAACCACAACCCUAUCCUCAUGCACCAUCAGCUCAUCGGCAACACACGUUUGGUGUUAAUUAUGAUGUUAAUGGUGUUAGUAGUAGUUGCAAUAAUUAUAAUUACAAUCAUAAUGGUAAUCAGAUAUUAAGCAUGGAGUAUUCUUCUGGUUUUGUAAAUCCAAGUGAUACCUCCAACUUUUAAUUAUCAUCUCAAUUUUAACAAAUUAUUAAUGUAUUGAUUAUUAUAACAAAAUGUGUUUGUUGUUUUCAAUAAUCUGCUUAUUAAGUUCUAUUAGAG
rnacentral:lncRNA from 1 species